rnacentral:sRNA from 12 species
AGAUGGCUUGAUGGCGAUUGAGUAGAUAAGUUAUCAAUUAAAUAAUUCAAUCAAGAUGACUCACUUUAAGCGUGAAAGACCGCUGACAAAAGAGUCCGCACCGCUCUACGAAUUGCUAAAGGGCGAGGGCGAAAGUAGGUAAAGUGACACCACAGGACCUUCAAAACGGGCUAUGCUAAGUAGCCCAUAGCUAAGUCCUAUAUUAAGUAUAGGAUACGCUAAAAACGUGGCGAGAUGGGCUGAUACACACGAUGAGGACACGAACAGAGACCGAAAGGAAAGCAAGUAGGGCGUGCAGACGCUUGUAGAAAGUUCGUAUUAAGAUUGAAAUAUCUUAAUAGUUAGCAAUUC